rnacentral:siRNA from 1 species
UGACAAGUGUCAAUUGUCUGAUG